rnacentral:lncRNA from 1 species
CAUUCCAAUAUUAUUUACAAUGCCUAUUAUGUAUAUCGACCAAAAUACGAUAAAAAAACAUCUAGCACAACCAAAAUGACUUUCCAAUUAGAAAUAACAAAAAUAUACUAUUUUAUCUAACUAUUUUACAUAAGAUCUUAAGUUAAAAUUAUAGUAAGAUUAAAAUGAACUAAGAAUAAAUAAACAUUUUCUAAAUUCAACUUGCAAUUGCAAUAAAAUAUAAAGAUU